UACGUAGGGUGCGAGCGUUAAUCGGAAUUACUGGGCGUAAAGCGUGCGCAGGCGGUUCGUUGUGUCGGCGGUGAAAGCCCCGGGCUUAACCUGGGAAUGGCCGUUGAAACUGGCGAACUGGAGUGUGGCAGAGGGGGGUGGAAUUCCGCGUGUAGCAGUGAAAUGCGUAGAGAUGCGGAGGAAUACCGAUGGCGAAGGCAGCCCCCUGGGUCAAUACUGACGCUCAUGCACGAAAGCGUGGGGAGCAAACAGG
rnacentral:rRNA from 1 species